GCUUCCCCUCCCGGACCCGCUUGAGGCUGGUUUCAGAGCGAUUCCGCGCCGGUGCGGCCGGUCCCCCGGCUCGCCAAGUGGGAGCGCAGGCGAGGGGCGAUUGCUCCCCGCGCUGGAGCCGCUGUCCCGUGGAAGGGGCCUGUUUGUGGCUCGCCAGCAGCGCGCAAACAGACAGUAACUUUACACCUUGGCUUGUUGAUGGCAGGAGGCAGCCGGCGCCAAGGUAAAAUGCUUGGCUGGGAUUGAGACGAGCAGGCAGGAAUUGGGGGAGUGCCUAGAUCUGGGAUCUACAUCAGGACCCUUUGGUGCAAGGUGCUGUACACACAAACAGUUCCAUUAGCUUUUCCAGCUCUGGGUAGGAAUGAAAAUGCUACACAUUUCUGCAGUGCUUUUCAUCUCAGCAUCUUAAAGGGCUUGGCAAGCAUCAAUUACUCUGAGCCUCUGAUCGAGAUUUUUAUUUCUGUAUGAUACAAGAGGGCUCCUUCAAGGACCUGGGUCACCGAAUUGGCAUUUGGACAGCUUGCAUAAAAGCCUUCAGAGGAUUGCCUCAUUUUCCUCACAGUGGUGUGACAGCAGGCAUAGCUGAGCUUCAAGAGUCUCCUGUGAACAGCGGGAUUUGAAUCGGUGACUUUCAGCAUCCAAUCUUAUGAGGUCAGAGUUCCUGGAAUGGGCAGUCCAGUAGGUGCUUAUGCUCUGUGGACAGAGGUGACAUGAAACACUUGGCCACUAGACCAUCCUUCUGCCUUUAAAAUGGAUUGAAUACCUUCGCUAUGGCACUGGACUGCAACGCAGGAGACCUGGGUCAAAUUUCGAGCUCAUCCCUGGAGUGAUGUGGGUAAGUCCCAGAGGAAUGUCUGCACUGUAGUUGCACCACCUGUAUCCAUAGCACAGCUAGCUUUAAUCGAGUUUGGCUCCUAUAGCAAUGGCAGAGGAGUCACUGCAGCAUGGGCUAUACGCUCACCUGUCCCUGUCCCUCAGUUCCUGAUCUGUACAAAGGGGGGGGGAGAGCACUGCCCCACCGCACAGAGCUGUUGUGAAGAUAAAAUCCAUUAGUGGGCGAGGAGGACCCUAUGAGCACUGAGAGAGAGAGAACUUGGGCUGAAAGUAACUAGCAGGAACUAAAGCCUGGUCUACACCUAAAACGUACGUGGACGUAGCGGUGUGGCUCAGGGAGCGUGGGAAUCACUCCUGAGAGAGGUGGUUAAGCCAACUUAAGCUCCAUUGUAGACGCCAUUAGGUUCAUCGACGGAGGAAUUCUUCCGUCGAUCUAGCUACUGCCUCUUGAAGGGGUGGAUUUACCACGACGAUGGAAAAAGCCCUUCUGUUGCUGUGGUAUGUGCUACAGGGGUACGGUGGGGCCACUGUAGCACUUGCAGUGCUAAGCAGAGAUUAAAAUAAAUAGGCCUUAAAAUCCAUCGGUCAGUGUGCUCUCUAUAUCGGCUUUGUUCAUGGGUCUCAAAGCCACGUGGCAGCCGGGGGUUUAAUUUCCUGCCCAUGGAUAAGUAUGUGCGCUAGACCCCCAACAACAUAGCUGGGGUUAUAUUCAGAGCUUGUGUGUAAGUCUACACGAGCUGGAAAGUAGACAGACCCCUGUCUGUGUUCCUACUGGCAGUGCUAUCCCAGCCCCUCAGUGUGGAGUCAUGAGAUAUUCUCCCCUAGUAUUAGUUAACUAACACUUUCAGGGUUUACAACUCUGGAACCAUGACUUUAAAAUGAAAGAAAAUAUAGCUGCACCUCUCGUUGGAACAAGGUGGAGAGACCAAGGUAAGAACCCUACUUUUCUCCUCGGGGUCACAGUGGCAUUUGAAUAGCAGGUCUCGGAUAGCGGGGCAUGGUAAGGUGUCACCACGAUGACAGGAAGACACAGACUGAAAUACAAAACCAUAUUUUGUUGCAUCUCCCAGAUCCUAAACUGCUUGAAGCAAAACGGGGGACUUGCCAGCCAGAGACAUUAGACUGUCAACUCCUUAGUGGCGGGAGCUUGUGUACCUCUAAUGCUCCAAACCUAUUAGAAAGGGCCUCGGAAGUUAACCUGGUUGGCUUUUUUGCCACCCCACUUUAACAAUAAAUCAAAGUAUGUGCAAGUCAGCAGUAUCUUUGGGAAGACUAACAGUGAAGGUUUAGUGAAAAUCAGACACUAGAAAAAGACUAAAUUUAACAUUUUAUUUUGUCUCAGAAGGAAUCCACCAUAGGCCUCAUAUUAAGUUAUGCAUCUUUAAUUAUAAAAAUAAGCAAAGAAAAUAACUUGCAUCUCUCAUUACCAUGAUAUGUUUCAAAUAACCUUUAUAUGAACAUAUGGAGCUUUAAAAAUGUAAUUUAACAAUAAAUAAUGACAUAUCCCAGAUAUGCUCACUGUUUAUUCCAGUAAUCAGUCAAAAAAACCAAACCAAACCCCCCUAAGUAUCAUUAAAUUAUAAAUACAUAAUGCAAAUUUAUAAUGGCACAAACAUGUCUAAAGUGCAAACAAAUCACAAUGAGAAUCAUGCAAACGCUUCUAGAUAAGCCCCUCGACCCCCAAGAAAAUCACUUUGCAGUGAGCACAAGACCAAAAAAAAAAGCAUUAGAGAUUAAAUGGGUGUGAAACAGUCAGACUCUACACUGAAAAUCAUUUUUCCCUAUAAAAAUUGUGUGACUGUAGUGCAGUGCUAGUGUUACUAUAGGCCAAGGGGGAAAAAGUGAGACAUUAGGCAUAAACUAAGCAGCUCAAAUAUUUUUGUGGAUUAGAUUUUCUCUACGCUGAGUAGUUGCUUGGGGGGAGGAAGUAAAGCCACUAGAUGAGAUUUAUCCCUGCUUGAAACCACAGUAAUAGGGUUGCUCAGGAAAGGACUACUCCCCUGUCCUCCCCAGGUGAAAAACUGUUAAGAAUUGAUUGGAAAUGUUUUCUACUUUUGGGGAUCUGAUUGAAAAACCACAUUUUUUUUGACAACCAAAAAAAGUUUCCACUUAACAUUCAAAAUGUUGGGCAUUUAAAUAGCCUUAGGGAAAAAAAAACAACACAAAACCCUAAGCAGUGUUUAUACAAAUAGUUGGAAAAUGGGUUGACAGCUUUUUCCAACAACACAAUGUUCGGAGGGCAAGUGUUCGACCUGCUUCACAAGGUGAGUUUUACUGGUUGAAAUAGCGGCUUUGCACUCUGUAUGUAAAGGGACGGUAGCUCUAUUUGGAGCAAAUCCCCAGUGUAGACACGCCCCUAUGUAACGGUGUUGUGUACUUGAUACCCAAAUUCUGGUAGACUUCCUGUUCUAAUGCCCCUUUCCUAAUGGUGCAUCUCAAAAAGUACCUCUCCCAAAGUGCUGAGCACCUGCACCUGGUAAAAUCAAGCCCUUGCUACUUGAGCACCCGUAAUUCCCACUGGGAAGCAUGCAGCACCGUGUAGGAUUGCAUCCUCCUUACGCUGGAUUCCAGUAUACCUGACAGUGUUGCACCUAGCUUGAACUGGACUGCAUGAUUCAGAGUAUCUCUCUCUAUAUAUUACAAAAAUCACUGUCAGCAACAUUUUUUGCUGCUUACAAUUUUACGACAGCGCUUUCGGGCUACAUUUAAUGAAGACAGCAAUUCUGGAAAUGCUGUCACUGCAUCUGGUUUUAAUAUAUUAGCAGCAAGUCAUUGUUUAAAGGCUUUGUGGUUGAGAAGUUCUAUUGCUUUAUAUUCUGCAAAGAGAGAUGCCCCCCCGUUAGCCUUUUACAGAACUUGAUUCGCUUCUGAACGAGCCGAACCAGAGUCAGCUACCCCCCAGACCUAGUUUCCAACGGGGUAGAUUUUGGAAUCAGCCCUGCUGCUCCCAAGCCACAACACAAGGUUGCUUUUUCUGGCGUACAGAACCCAAGACAGGCUCCUGUGGAGGCCUUCAGCUAGGCGUGCCAAAAAACCCAACUUGUAAGCCUCGGUCAGAUCUUCUUUUUUCAGAAGAGCAUCGUAGGAAAGGCAGGCUUGCAGGCCCUGCGUUUCAAGUGGCUCGCAACAGGCACAGUGAUGCAUGUGUUUUGGAUUGCCCGGCUACCUUUAGACAUACCUGGCGUGGCUCAGACGUGACCCUUCUGAAGGCUGCAGCCGUGAUAUUUAAGAGUUGGUCUGUCAGCCGUUUGACAAUUCCCAGAUUUGCUUUUUAGCAGGACUUCCAGCUGGGAUGCAAGUACAGUACCGUGGUAACCUCUGAAGGUAGCUCGGGCGGUCGGAAUCCAGCCUAUCG